AGCGCCACAAGUGGUCAUCGCGAUUAUUGGGCCUAAAGCGUUCGUAGCCGGUUUGGUAAAUCUCUUGUGAAAUUGUUCGGCUUAACCGAACAGCGUGCAGGGGAGACUGCCAGACUCGAGACCGGGAGGGGUUAGAGGUAUUCUGUAGGGACCGGUAAAAUGGGAUAAUCUACAGAGGACCACCGAUGGCGAAGGCAUCUAACCAGAACGGAUCUGACGGUGAGGAACGAAAGCUAGGGGAGCGAACC
rnacentral:rRNA from 1 species